AGCCCUCUGUAUUCGUGCUGAGAUUUCGUCAGAGAUUAACCCCUUUGGAGCUCGCUGAUGAUACUUCCUAAAUAAGUGAAGCG
rnacentral:pre_miRNA from 1 species